rnacentral:rRNA from 1 species
AUUGAACGCUGGCGGCAGGCCUAACACAUGCAAGUCGAACGAGUGGCGGACGGGUGAGUAAUGUCUGGGAAACUGCCCGAUGGAGGGGGGUAACUACUGGAAACGGUAGCUAAUACCGCAUACCAUCGGAUGUGCCCAGAGGGGAUUAGCUAGUAGGUGGGGUAACGGCUCACCUAGGCGACGAUCCCUAGCUGGUCUGAGAGGAUGACCGGCAACACUGGAACUGAGACACGGCCCAGACUCCUACGGGAGGCAGCAGUGGGGAAUAUUGCACAAUGGGCGCAAGCCUGAUGCAGCCAUGCCGCGUGAAUGAAGAAGGCCUUCGGGUUGUAAAGUACUUUCAGCAGGGAGGCGUUACUCGCCGAAGAAGCACCGGCUAACUCCGUGCCAGCAGCCGCGGUAAUAC